GGGUCAGUAGGUUGGUCGUGCCACCGGUACGUACUGGUCUCACUGAUUCCUCCUUCCUGAAGAACCGUAAUGCCACUAAUUUGGUGUUGCGGGGAAACAGGACUGUUACUUUGAAAAAAUUAGAGUGUUUAAAGCAAGCUAACGCUUGAAUACGUUAGCAUGGAAUAAUGAAAUAGGACGAUCGAUCCUAUUUUGUUGGUUUCUAGGAUUGACGUA
rnacentral:rRNA from 1 species